ensembl:lncRNA
CCAGAAAAGUGCUUUUGAUGGUCCAGUGGGACAAAGGGAGCCCAGAGGAAUCAGGAAACAUCUCUUUGCUAAACACUGGAAAAAUUGAGAGAAGACAGAGAGACAGAGAGAGAGAGAGAGAGAGAGAGACGGACGGGGAGGGAGAGAGAGAGAGAGAGAGAGAGAGAGAGAAAUGCCAGUCUUCAUGGAAUUAAACCUUUGCUCUCACUCUUAGCCUGUUUUGAUAGCAUGACCUAACAACAUGCAGAAGGUGGCAGACAAAGCAGAUGGUGGUGCAGGCAGCUGGGCUGCUGGCAGGUGGAAACUGGGAGCAACUAAUUCCGUGGUAAAGAUUUUUCAAACUGAAUCUUGGUCCAGUGUCCAGCAUUCCACGGGGAAGGGGUGAAAAUACACCCUGAUGAAAACCCAUCCAGAGUCAGCACAUUUGAGAAGUUCCACUGUGAGCUUCCCUGGGCCUCCUGCAAGCCUUGGAGUGUGGUUCCUCCCACCAUCUUCAAAGCCAACAAAGGCGAAUCAAGUCCUUCUCGUAUUGCAUCACCUUGACCUCCUCUUCCGCCUCUCGCCUCUCUUCUACUUUUAAAGACUCUGUGAUUCCACUGGGCCCACCUGGGUAAUCGAGGAUAAUCUCUCUCUUUUAAGGUUACAUGAUUAGCAACCUUAAUUCCAUCUUAAUUACUCUUUGUUAUAUAGUUUAGUGUAUUCACAGUAAAUUUUAGGGAUUAGGACCUGGACAUCGUUGGGGAGACCAUUAUUCUGCCUACCAAGGCCUCUGUAUCUUUUUCAACUGUACUUUAGCGCCACGAUAUCUAGUAACACUUCCUUAACAUUUCUGGCAUAAUCUUGAUACUCUUACCUACUUUCCACGACUGAUGCCACUUUUCGUGUACUUAUGUUCAAUGGGAGAGUUACUUGGGUAUACUCAGGCCACCAAAUUUUCAGGAAAUUGCAGAUACUAUUUUUAUUAUAAAAGGAAUUAUGUGACUUUUUCAGGGAGUUUCCCCAUGAUUACAUUUACACAUUGAUUACGAAAUUUGUAGUUAUUCAGGUUAUAUUAUCUUUACUUUCCUGGAUUUGUGGCAUUCUGUUGCUCUUUUAGGAAUUUCUUUGGAAGUUUUGUUAUCCAGGAACUCCCUUUCUCAUGGGCAUUUUCAGCACAGGGUGGCUAAGAAUAAGUGAUGGAACUAAAUUUAGCCAGUUUUAGUUCUCAUAUAAAAAAUGGACUGGGGAAUGGGUCAGAAACUUCUCAUCUCAUAAUCAGUGUACUCAAUGCAAAUUUGUUGUAUUUCUCUUAUUUUGAACAUUAAGCUCUAUUAAACACUUUCCGCAUAUGUUUUCCAUUAGCUUUAAACCCUGGUGAAUAUUUGUAAGAUACCCUAGCUUUUAAUGGUCCCUUGAGGAAACCGCUGAAAUUUUUCCAAUUCAUUUUACAUUCAUUUUAUGUUGUGAAAACUAUUUUUUAUUCUACUUUAAAUUGUGUCCUAAAAAUGUCAAGGGUUUAAAUUUCUAUGAACAACUUCUUUGAUUUUGUCUCAUAAAUUAGGAUUCCCAUGGGCAUAUUAUUUUCCUUAACAUUUAAAAAUUUUCAAGAUUAUACGACAUUGUAAUAUUUACUUAUUCUCCAGGGAUGCAGUCUCCAAACAAAUUGGAUUUUUUGUUUGUUUGUUUGGUUGGUUGGUUGGUUGGUUGUUUUUACGUUAAAAAUAAUUCCUAAUUGGCUAGUAAUACCUUAAAUCCAGCUGUAUACUUCAUAUUUCAAAAAGCUUGAAGAAUAAGCUGUCCCAAAUGGCACUAAGAUAGUAUCUACACAUAAAACAACAUGAGAGUCUCUAGUUUCUUUAUUACCAAUAAACAGCAAGAUUAAUUUAUUUGUUUCCCUCCAAACAGCAUUUUAUUUGGAAUGGAGUCAUCGUAACCUUUUCUUUUAUGCACUUAAUGAUCUAGAUUUUUGUUGAACUCCACAAUCUAAACACUAUUUAGAUCUACUACUAAUGAUGUAAACCUUCUGUGCUGACAGAACACCCCAUGUGCUAACUUUCAGCUUGGGUCCCCCGAUAUAAAGUCUGCUGGUAAAAGUUGCUGAGCACUGUCAGGCUUAUCAACAGACCUCAGUGAGGAGUGUGGCAUUUCAGCGAUACUAAGCUAGGGCUGAGCUGUUCAGACAUACCAUUCAUCACCUCCUUCACAGGGUCUGGACAGGCAUUCCUGCUUCUAAUCAGUACUUAUAUGGUGUGGGAACAACGAAAACAAAAAGAUGUCUGCUGCACCAAAGUAGGACAGUCAUUAUAUCUAGUGGUUGUUGAGUUGGUCAUGUACUAAUUACUCUCAUUGAGAUAUAUUGCUCAAGAAAAAUGAGGAAUGAAUAGCGGCCAGGACAGGCGUGAAUGAGAAAGACCUUCACAAAUCCUUAGGUUUGGUGUUUCAGAGGAACCAGUUGUUGAAGAGAAGGCUAGAAGUAAAGAAUUGAAAAUAGGCUCUGGAAGUAUCGGCAUUAAUAUACCAAAUAAAAUAAAGUUUAUUUUUAUUUGGAUUAUGCAGAUUAAUAUUAAUGCAUUCUAUAUAGAAAAUCAGACCGUUGAACCAGAGGGCCCACCUCCGUCUAAGACUGACUUGGUGUGAUCAGACCUCACUGUAUUUUUAAACCUGCUGGGGUGAGGGAGGAUAUGGAGCCAUGAAUCUUUCCCUGCUUGGCACAAGAUGAGUUGGUGAUGUCAGAUGUGGCAGUGGCCUGAUUCCUACUAGUGGUUGUUAUAGCUCUCUUUGAAAGAGAGGUUCUCCUAAAUAUCCUAUGUUAGAAAUUAACUAAAUAAAGUAUGGUUUGUAUUUAAACAGAUUAUGAAGAAGUCAUUAAAAUCACAUUCUUUAAGAAUAUUUAACUACACAACAAAAUACUCACUAUUACAAAAGGGGGUAGGCAACAGGAUGCAAAAAUUAUUAAAAUGUACCAAAAUGUUUUCAGUAUUUGUUUCUGGAUGUUAGCAUUAUAGUAAAUUUAAAAUUUUAUUUUUUAUGUUUUUUUUUUUUUUUCUAUUUCUUGGAUAUUCCACAAUGACCACAUGCUCUUAUUAUCACGGGGAAAAUGUAUUUUUAACACAGAAAUUUAAGAAAAAUGCUCAAAGCAAAUAUUCCAGGCCUGGAUCUAUCAGUUCUAAAUUUUGUUGAAUAAGAUUGAGAGCUAUAUGGACAAUAUUUAAUCUUGAGAUUUGGGUUAUAUUCGACAGGUAAAAUGUUGGUUGAAUAUAUUUUUAGUGGAAUUUGAUCCUCAUGUUAUUUCAGGGGGCAAUUUUAAAGAUAAAUAUGAAAGUAAUAAUUAUUUCCAGUAUGUUAAAUAUGUACAAAGAUAAGCUUUAAAUUUUGUAUUUUUCAGUGGGAAAAGAAAAAAAUUAAGCUAGUGUAAUGCUGUGGUCCCAAUGUUGGUGGCCACUAAAAUUCAUAUGUGAAACCUACUCCUUAAUGAAAACAUAUUAAGAGGUGGUGGGCAUUUGGGAGGUGAUUAGGUCAUAAGGGUGAUAAAAGAGGCUCAAAGGACCUGUUUACCCUUCCAUCAUGUGUGGACAUGUAGAAGGCACUACCUAUGUGAAACAGGGCCUCACCAGACACAGAUUCUGCUGGUGCCUUGAUCUUGGACUUCCCAGCUCCCAGAACAGUGAGCAAUAAGUUUCUGCUGUUUAUAAAUCACUCACAUUUUAUCUGGAAUAAAUGCUUGUGGAAAUUUGGUUAUUCCACAUCCAUAUCACCUUUGAAGUGUUCAGUAGAUAUUUUUCUUAAUGAAUAAAUGAGUGUCUGUUUCAGUCAAUCUAUUGCAGAACCAUUAUUGCCAGUGACAAAAGUCAUUGUUUGUUUGCCCUUUGGCUAAAACUAACAAAUAGAGAGAAAGCUGAACUCACCAGUAAGCAAUUUUGAGCUGUGAGCAUGUUAUGUGAAGUUAUUCUAUGUUCUAUGAUAACCAUGAAAAUAUCAUUUAGUGUUAUUUCCAGGAUAUACAAAAAAUUAGGAGGUAAGCUCUUUGAAAUUCAGCUCUUAUUUUCUUUAUGCUACAGAGAAAGGGGACAGUGGAAGGUAAGAAUAAUAUCUUAUUGUUGAAUAACAGUAAUCUCCUAAACUAGUGAAGGC